rnacentral:rRNA from 1 species
CCUACGGGAGGCAGCAGUGGGGAAUAUUGGACAAUGGGCGCAAGCCUGAUCCAGCAAUGCCGCGUGAGUGAUGAAGGCCUUAGGGUCGUAAAGCUCUUUUACCAGGGAUGAUAAUGACAGUACCUGGAGAAUAAGCUCCGGCUAACUCCGUGCCAGCAGCCGCGGUAAUACGGAGGGAGCUAGCGUUGUUCGGAAUUACUGGGCGUAAAGCGUACGUAGGCGGUUAUUCAAGUCAGAGGUGAAAGCCCGGGGCUCAACCCCGGAACGGCCUUUGAAACUAGGUAGCUAGAAUCUUGGAGAGGUCAGUGGAAUUCCGAGUGUAGAGGUGAAAUUCGUAGAUAUUCGGAAGAACACCAGUGGCGAAGGCGACUGACUGGACAAGUAUUGACGCUGAGGUACGAAAGCGUGGGGAGCAAACAGGAUUAGAUACCCUGGUAGUCCACGCCGUAAACGAUGAUAACUAGCUGUCCGGGCACUUGGUGCCUGGGUGGCGCAGCUAACGCAUUAAGUUAUCCGCCUGGGGAGUACGGUCGCAAGAUUAAAACUCAAAUGAAAUUGACGG